rnacentral:tRNA from 2 species
GGUGCCGUGGCCGAGUGGUUAGGCAAAGGUCUGCAAAACCUUGUACGGCGGUUCGAAUCCGCCCGGCACCU